GUAAAAGAAAGCGAGAGAAAAAGAGUCCUAUCAAAACAUUUUAACAUUUCAACAUAGUAAUAAUAUUUUGAAACCUAUGAGCCUUUUUAAACAGUUCACUUUCAUAGAAAUCUUCAUCAUUAGGACAGUUAUGACAUGAACACUGGUCAGGUGUGGAAGCUUUUUUUUCAUUCUGCUGUCAAAGUGUUGAUUCAGACUGCAGGAGACAGUGUGUGAGAGCAGCUGCUUACAUAUGGAGACCUGAGCCGAAAUUCAUCACUACUCUGAAUCAUCACUUGGACUGUGCGCUUGGAUUUAUUUUAUUUUUAAUUUUUUUUUGCCUGAAACUAAAUAAGAAAUGGAGAGGAAUGGAAACUAUACUAUGAGGAUGAAAUAUGCCAGUGUUCAGCACAUGUGAAACAUUAAAAACUGAGUUACUUUGCUGAUUGGGCAUAAAAUCGAGGCUGUGUGUGGAUACGAUGCCCUGAGCUAGCUCAAUUGAUUCCAGAAGGGUGGACUGUGUUGAGAUGAGGUCUGGACAUUUCUUCUUUUACUCACCUCAGUCACAAUCCACCCCUCAUCCAUCAAUCCCAAAAGCUUCCAUAACAGAUGGAAUCACUCAUAUAGCUACUAAUCAGUUUUAUGUUGAUGAAAGGCAAAUCCAUCUGCACUUCUCUUUUAAAUCAUUUUUCCCAGAUCCCUGUUUUUUACUAGUUUGAAUGAUGACCGAGCAGCUUCUGUGGAGGAAUGGCCCCAGUUGGAGCCGUUAUCUGUGGCAUUAUUCUGGCAGAGCGAUGGGCUGGACCCUGGAAGGGACAGCUGAGUCAUUUGGCAGAGACCAGCAAGCCAAUUGGUCAGGGAAGUUAUGAGGACAACACUAGAUUUGUGACCACCUUACAGCACUGUCUCACCCCAGGAAGCUCAGCCAGCGGGUCAGGGAUGACUUUCAAGACAAAAAUCAUUACCAGCUAAUAGCCCCUACCUAAUGUAUAGCACUCUAUGUUGUUUUAUAGCUAAAAUAAAUCACAAUAAAAUGACAUGGCAGUGUUAUCUUGUUGAUUUGUAACUGUUUGGAGCGAAAACAUAA
ensembl:lncRNA